GUUGGUGAACCAGCGGAGGGAUCAUUACAGAGUUGAAAAACUCCCAAACCAUUGUGAACCUACCAAUCAUCGUUGCUUCGGCGGGCGGCGCCGGGGGGCAUCGUCCCCCCGGGAGCCAACGCCCUUGCGGGCGCCCGCCGGAGGUACUUAACCCUGACCUAUUGUAUGGCCUCUCUGAGUCUUCUGUACUGAAUAAGUCAAAACUUUCAACAACGGAUCUCUUGGUUCUG
rnacentral:misc_RNA from 1 species